GUUAUUUUCAGGGCUUUUUCUCCUCCCAUGCCCUGAGAUAGAAAACCGGUUCUUCCUCCUCCCGAACCGGUUUUCGUUUUUCGCAAAAACUUGCUUUUU
rnacentral:sRNA from 18 species